AUAGAUACCCUGGUAGUCCACGCCGUAAACGAUGUCGACUUGGAGGUUGUUCCCUUGAGGAGUGGCUUCCGGAGCUAACGCGUUAAGUCGACCGCCUGGGGAGUACGGCCGCAAGGUUAAAACUCAAAUGAAUUGACGGGGGGCCCGCACAAGCGGUGGAGCAUGUGGUUUAAUUCGAUGCAACGCGAAGAACCUUACCUACUCUUGACAUCCAGAGAACUUAGCAGAGAUGCUUUGGUGCCUUCGGGAACUCUGAGACAGGUGCUGCAUGGCUGUCGUCAGCUCGUGUUGUGAAAUGUUGGGUUAAGUCCCGCAACGAGCGCAACCCUUAUCCUUUGUUGCCAGCGGUUAGGCCGGGAACUCAAAGGAGACUGCCAGUGAUAAACUGGAGGAAGGUGGGGAUGACGUCAAGUCAUCAUGGCCCUUACGAGUAGGGCUACACACGUGCUACAAUGGCGCAUACAAAGAGAAGCGACCUCGCGAGAGCAAGCGGACCUCAUAAAGUGCGUCGUAGUCCGGA
rnacentral:rRNA from 1 species